CGCUGGCGGCAGGCUUAACACAUGCAAGUCGAGCGCUCGCAGCAAUGCGGGAGCGGCAGACGGGUGAGUAACGCGUGGGAACGUACCCUCCGGUUCGGAAUAACUCAGGGAAACUUGAGCUAAUGCCGGAUACGGCUGAGAGGCGAAAGAUUUAUCGCCGGGGGAUCGGCCCGCGUCCGAUUAGCUAGUUGGUGGGGUAACGGCUCACCAAGGCGACGAUCGGUAGCUGGUCUGAGAGGAUGAUCAGCCACAUUGGGACUGAGACACGGCCCAAACUCCUACGGGAGGCAGCAGUGGGGAAUAUUGGACAAUGGGCGUAAGCCUGAUCCAGCCAUGCCGCGUGAGUGAUGACGGCCUUAGGGUUGUAAAGCUCUUUCGCCAGGGACGAUAAUGACGGUACCUGGAUAAGAAGCCCCGGCUAACUUCGUGCCAGCAGCCGCGGUAAUACGAAGGGGG
rnacentral:rRNA from 1 species